rnacentral:rRNA from 1 species
UACGUAGGUGGCGAGCGUUGUCCGGAUUUACUGGGCGUAAAGAGCGCGCAGGCGGUCGUACAAGUCGCGUGUGAAAGCCCCCGGCUCAACUGGGGAGGGUCACGCGAUACUGAUCGACUCGAAGGCAGGAGAGGGAAGUGGAAUUCCCGGUGUAGUGGUGAAAUGCGUAGAUAUCGGGAGGAACACCAGUGGCGAAGGCGACUUCCUGGCCUGUUCUUGACGCUGAGGCGCGAAAGCUAGGGGAGCAAACGGG